AUGCACGCUGGCGGCGUGCCUCAUACAUGCCAGUCGAGCGAACGGACGAGAAGCUUGCUUUUCUGAUGUUAGCGGCGGACGGGUGAGUAACACGUGGAUAACCUACCUAUAAGACUGGGAUAACUUCGGGAAACCGGAGCUAAUACCGGAUAAUAUUUUGAACCGCAUGGUUCAAAAGUGAAAGACGGUCUUGCUGUCACUUAUAGAUGGAUCCGCGCUGCAUUAGCUAGUUGGUAAGGUAACGGCUUACCAAGGCAACGAUGCAUAGCCGACCUGAGAGGGUGAUCGGCCACACUGGAACUGAGACACGGUCCAGACUCCUACGGGAGGCAGCAGUAGGGAAUCUUCCGCAAUGGGCGAAAGCCUGACGGAGCAACGCCGCGUGAGUGAUGAAGGUCUUCGGAUCGUAAAACUCUGUUAUUAGGGAAGAACAUAUGUGUAAGUAACUGUGCACAUCUUGACGGUACCUAAUCAGAAAGCCACGGCUAACUACGUG
rnacentral:rRNA from 1 species